rnacentral:SRP_RNA from 1 species
GCCGGGUGCAGUGGCACAUGCCUGUUGUGCCAGCUACUAGGGAGGCUGAGUGGGCAGAUCACUUGAGCCCAGGAGUUCUGGGCUGUAGUGUGCUAUGCCAAUUGGGUGUCUGCACUAAGUUCGGCAUCAAUAUGGUGACCUUCUGGGAGCGGGGGACCACCAGGUUGCCUAAGGAGGGGUGAACCGGCCCAGGUCGGAAAUGGAGAAGGUCAAAACUGCCGUGCUGAUCAGUAGUGGGAUCACGCCUGUGAACAGCCACUGCACUCCAGCCUGGGCAACAUAGCGAGACCCUGUCUCA